rnacentral:rRNA from 1 species
AGCAGCCGCGGUAAUUCCAGCUCCAAUAGCGUAUAUUAAAGUUGUUGCAGUUAAAAAGCUCGUAGUUGAAUUUCGGGAUCAAUUUAUCGGUCGUGCCUACGGUAUGAACUGGUACAAUUGGUUUCUCCCUUCUGAUGAAGCACGAUGUCAUUAACUUGGUGUCGUGGGGAGUCAGGACUGUUACUUUGAAAAAAUUAGAGUGUUUAAAGCAGGCCUUGGCUUGAAUACAUUAGCAUGGAAUAAUGAAAUAGGACGUUUGAUCCUAUUUCGUUGGUUUCUAGGAUCGACGUAAUGAUUAAUAGGGAUAGUUGGGGGCAUUAGUAUUCAAUUGUCAGAGGUGAAAUUCUUGGAUUUAUUGAAGACUAACUACUGCGAAAGCAUUUGCCAAGGAUGUUUUCAUUAAUCAAGAACGAAAGUUAGGGGAUCGAAGACGAUCAGAUACCGUCGUAG